AUGGUCAGACCCUCAGUCUCUUUGCUUCAACCCUCCUCUGAGAAGCUCUCUGGAGGCCCAGUCACACUGGCCUGCCUGCUGACCGGCUACUCUCCUCAGGGAGCUGAAGUGAGAUGGGAAGUAGAUGGCACAGAGGUGACAGAGGGGGUCCUGAACAGCUUAGAAGAAGAGAAGAGUAGUCGCUACAGCAGCAGCAGCACCCUGAUGCUGAGCCAAGAGAACUGGAUGAACGCAGAGGUGUUCUCCUGCAGGGUGAACCAUCAUGACCACCGGCAGGCCAAGUCCUUCCACAAGAACCGGUGUGAGGGCUAG